rnacentral:lncRNA from 1 species
GAUAGAGUAAUUUUUAACGGCCAUGAACCGUCGUGGAGAAAGCGGGAGUUACGAUAUUAACUGCUCUCCAUAAAUACUUUCCAUUGCGUAAAAUGCAAUGCCUCUUGUCGUAGGGGAACAAGCAAGAAUUAAUUUGGUGAAUUAAACACUCAUUAAGGAUCAAGAAGAUUGUGCUGGAAAAUGUUAGCAAGACUCAACUUGAGAUCAUACUACAUGAACCGCAAAAGGUAUUUUUAACUAAUUACAAAGUUGGGUGUAGUAGGUGGGUUUGCUUUUUGUACUAUGAGUCCAGCUCCCUAAGAUCUUAAUUCUUGUGCGAUCAAACUGACACUCGUCACCCCUCAUCACUAGAUCAUCCAAUGUAAUGUCAUUUUGGAGGAGUUGGAGCUGUGGGUACACUAGAAGUCAUUGGGUGAGCUAUUUGUUAUUACCUUGGACUAAAAACAUUGGCCUAAAUCGUUUUAUUUUACCUUUACCGAUUCGUAUCAAGAUCGAAGUCAUACGGACUGUCCAAUUAAGAGGAAGGUGAUAUGCCAUCACAUAUUCACAUUGAUGAUUGUGUUAGAAAGUGGAAAAAUAAAAGUGAUAUAAUGGAAUGGUUCAUUGAUUGAGGGGUACUGUUACACAUAUAUAGAAGCCCAAACAUGAAGGUAUCCGUUCGGGAAGGACAUGCCCCUUCCCGAAUAGCCCCUUCGGUGACUCGUCACUAGCAGUUGCUAAUGACAUCAUUAACUAAUAAUUAAAUAAUUAGAGUAAUUGAUCACUAAUAACUGUGUUUCAACACACUCCCCCUUGAUCAAUUGCUUCUUAUA